CUAUAAGCUUUUCUUAAAGCUACUUAUUUAACAUUAUAUGAAAUAG
rfam:Glycine max cultivar Williams 82 chromosome 10, whole genome shotgun sequence.